rnacentral:rRNA from 1 species
CCUACGGGAGGCAGCAGUGAGGAAUAUUGGUCAAUGGACGAGAGUCUGAACGAGCCAAGUAGCGUGAAGGAUGACUGCCCUAUGGGCUGUAAACUUCUUUUAUAAGGGAAUAAAACGAGGCACGUGUGCCUUUUUGCAUAUACUUUAUGAAUAAGGAUCGGCUAACUCCGUUCCAGCAGCCGCGGUAAUACGGAGGAUCCGAGCGUUAUCCGGAUUUAUUGGGUUUAAAGGGAGCGUAGAUGGGUUGUUAAGUCAGUUGUGAAAGUUUGCGGCUCAACCGUAAAAUGGCAAUUGAUACUGGCAGUCUUGAGUACAGUUGAGGUAGGCGGAAUUCGUGGUGUAGCGGUGAAAUGCUUAGAUAUCACGAAGAACCCCGAUUGCGAAGGCAGCUUACUAAACUGUGACUGACAUUGAUGCUCGAAAGUGUGGGUAUCAAACAGGAUUAGAUACCCGAGUAGUC